rnacentral:rRNA from 1 species
UACAGAGGGUGCAAGCGUUAAUCGGAAUUACUGGGCGUAAAGCGCACGUAGGUGGUUGCGUAAGUUGGAUGUGAAAUCCCCGGGCUUAACCUGGGAAUUGCAUCCAAAACUGUGCGACUAGAGUAUGGGAGAGGGAGGUAGAAUUCCAGGUGUAGCGGUGAAAUGCGUAGAGAUCUGGAGGAAUACCGGUGGCGAAGGCGGCCUCCUGGCCUAAUACUGACACUGAGGUGCGAAAGCGUGGGUAGCAAAC